CGAGUGCACGCGUCAUGGGCACAGCGGGCACAACCGCACAAACCCUACCCCCAAUCCAUAGCCGCCACUCCCUCCCUCCUUCUCCUUCCUCCCUCGUCUACCGCCGCCACUCCCUCCCUCCUCGUCGCCCUGCCUCCGCCCUAGGAGCUUCGUCGCCUCCCGCGCGCUCGUCCUCUCAUCUCCCAUGGAGGGGAGGGGUGGGGAUGUAGGGGAAGGAGGAAGCCGGAGAUGCUGCUGCUGCUGACGUCCAUGGAGAUGCUGUUGAUGCGGAUCGAGAAAGCAAAGAAAUUAGGGGGAGGAUGUGAGAGAGAAGGAAGGAGAGGAGAGGUCAGGGAGAGCCCCGAUGUUCUACCCCUACUAGGGCAUCUUUGCUCCAGGGAGAAAGGAGGGGACCAGCGGCACAGGGAGGAGAGGAGGCCGUCGAGGCAAGCGGGGAGGGGGCAGCGGCGUGGGAGAGGAUGGAGCGGGGAGGACAUGAGGCGAAGGGGGAGCGGGGCUCGGGAGCACAUGCCGGCGGCCGGCAGGUCGAAUCGUCGUGCCAUCGCGUAGUCGCCUCCUCUGCGCCAUGAGGCACCACCUCUGCCUCCACCCUCCACUAGGCAAGGAGCUCGAGGUGAACAGGCAGUGGGAAGGUGAGAGGAAGCAGGAGCUCAUCUCUCCUCCAAUGGCUGCCUCGUGCAUCUGGAGUAUAAGGAGGACAACACGUGCCUGUUGGAGGCGACUCGAGCAACGCAGGCUAGCGGCGAACUAGAUCUGACAUAGAAGACCACGUUCGUCAGAUUCGAAAGUGACCAUCUUCCAAUGGCUCUAAUGGAUGUGCACUCUUGUCUCCGUUGUUAUACCUAUUUUGGAAUCCAUGGCAACAUGUUGUGCUUUGUCGGCACAUUCGUGCAUGUGUGAGGUCGCAGAUGAAGAAGCACAGAAUGAUCAUUAUAUUCUCCUCUGCUCUGAUCUUCUAUUGACAUAUGUAAGAUGUACCUUAUUUCCUGGUAUUUCCUGAGAUUCUGAACUGAUUGUAUGACAGUGAUUAUUAUGUAAAAGUGUUUUCAGUUGUUGUUUAGUAUGGAUGCCUCCAUGGUUGCAUAGGCAUCCAUGGUUCUGUGAGGAGGUUAUCUAUGUCAUUCUGUUUUAUAUAGAUGUCUAAUUAGGUAAGCAAUCACACAUGGUCCUGUUACUUGUUUGUUUCUUUUGAUCAUCUUGAUGUUGAGUUGUGGGUUUACGCGAUCUUGCUACCCAGCUGGUUAUUUGAACAUGAAAAGGAGUAUGACUCGGCAGUAAAGUCAACCGUGGGGAGGUGCAACAUGGCGUGGCCUCAACAGCCAAUUAGGUGUCCUCUAUCUUUGCCUAUUGCUUCAUCUGGGACACUGAUUUUGUUUGACUUAUGAAGGCACAUUCAUCCUACAAGAACAAUCAUGAUUUAGAGUUAGACCACUCUUGCACAUCGGUUUGCUUUCUUACAUUGAUUGUUGUUUUUUUGUGCAUUAUAUCAUUCACCUUCUCACAUAAUAGUCUGGUAAAAAAAGAGUGAACUCACUCCUGAAUUUGCACUAAUUAUAUAUUUAUGGCACUAUUAAUAAUUUGUAUUUGCAUUCUCUGUUGAGUUCGUCGAGUUCCUUUCUCAAUAUGUUUAGAUGCUUUUCUCAAUGUGAAUUGCAUCCGUGAUGGAAAGAAGCAAAAGUGUGAUGUAGCAUAAUCUCCAGCAUGGUAGAGCCGCGUAUCGUCCAAAUAUUUGUUCUACAGUAGGUUAGUACAGACUUAUUGGAUCAUAUUUUUCAGAAGUAUGUGAACCUUCUGCACAAUGAAUCAUAACCCUGAAUUGUUAUUUCAAAAAAUAUCUGUGAAACCUUACAUUUGUUAGCUGUCAUACAUAUUUUACUAUUCCUGGACAAUUCCGAUUUUUGCUAAUAUGCUUAUCAGAAGUUUUAUUUAAUCAUGGCCGAAAUUUCAACAGAAUUAGGCCUUUCAGUACUUCACAUUUGUUGAACUAAUGGCCAUUUUCUAUUUUGUUGCUGUUUGGAUUGUUCAGGUAUUGGAAGUUUUGGGUUCCUCGGAAUUAUUGGUGCUUAUCUACAAAGUUUAUUAUGCUUAUCAUUCUAGAUUUUCUGAUUCUCAGUUGAACAGUACCGUUGAUAAAGCUACAUGGUGGAUGCUAUUCAUUAUAUAAGAAUUUGCUGGUAUUUGAUGCAAAAUAUCGGUGGCCAAAAUAUUGUUAUGGUCAGGUCGACCUGAAUAUUAUGUUCAUCUGUCUACACCUCCUCCUGUGGUAUCCAGUUGUUCGAGUACUGGUCACCUCCUCAUGGUAGACGCUUACAAGUGCUCCUGGUUGUUGAUAAUGCCUGAGACAAGUCACUAGCUGAGCCUAAUAAAAUAGUAAAGAAACUUUUUACAACAGUACAAAAAUGUAGAACAAAUCAAGUAGAAGAAGAGACAGAACGCACAAAAACUUUUGAAAGGAAUAUCAGUUUCAUACAUUAUUUGUAGUGCUAAAAUAAACAUACUGCAGGUUCAGGACUAAUUUAUUAUAGGCAAACCUGCACACAUGUGCUACUCUACCCAGGCUUAAUUCGUCCUAGCAAAAGAAAUCACAUCAUGAGCAAAAGAACAAAUUCACUACUAACAUUUCAAAUCAAGAUUUAUCCAUCUAGCAGUCCCAAAAUAUAUUUCUCUUCUCAUUAUUGCAGCAGCCUUUUCUGUACCAGCAAUGUGACACUGCACUACAAUAGAUUUUCAGAGGCCGUGGAAAAAUAAAGAAUUUGACAAUCGAUAGUCUCUAGUAUAUAAUUAUAAUUCUGCGUGCACUUUGGAGCUAUUGGAUGCCUGAAUGCGUCGUGUUCCUCCAUUGUGCCAUGUUAAGACUUGGAGCUUGAGAGGAGGGAAAUAGUUAAGCAGGUUGUAUAGAGUUGCUACCAUACCAUUUCUUUGUGACUGCAUGGUCUCACGAUCAAUUUUCUUAAAGUAUAUUAGCCUCUUGUUCUUGGAAGAAUAGAUUUUCCAUGGCCUCUGUUUUACUUACUGGGUGGAUUACACGUUACUUCCUUGGAUGUUUAGAGGUUAUUAUAUCCUUGCUCCCCUUUUUAUCAGCAAGCAUUCUCUCAUCUUCUGGUAACUUGAGUAAGAUGCAACACACUAAUGCUUUCUUAGUCUGGUUUGUUCUUGCAAAAAAUAAUUGAAGUGUGCAGACAGGCAGCAUGGAAACACUAAGGAGAAGUUUCAUACGUACUAAUAGCUGGAGUGAUUUCAUACCUGUAGUAACUGUCUUAGAAAAAUAUGUUUAAGCUAUUUCUAAAGAUAUUAGACCAUAUGAUUAUUCUUAAGUUAAAAUGUUUGGCAUGGACUAACGUGUAUACGACUGGAGUGGUUCCAGAUUUGUUACAAGCUCCUUGUGUUGAGGAACAUCAAAGUGGGGAAGUUUCUAUUAUUUUCGAAACUAUUAUUCAAAUGCUGAAGUGUAAUUUAUCACAUCCCUGAGACAUAGGAUAUAUACAUUUUACUAAACAGUCAUUAAACCUAUGUUAUCAAGUUUUACCUUAGUAGUGUAUCACCAAUGUUUACAACUGUUCCAAAAAUAGAAGCAAUGUGGCUCACACUAAUCAAUCGCAUGUUUUAUCUCAACCGAUUUUUAAAUUUUGACAUGCUAUUUUGAAGUAUAUAUUGGCAUUAUGCUGAAAAAGGACCUGAGAGGUGAAAUUUUAUUAUCUAUCCUGGCAGAAUAAUCCAAAGAAGAUAUGUUUUACUAACCAAUUUAUAUGCCUAAAGGUGCUGCUAUUGUUAUUAUUUUCUUAAUGGAUGCGCCUAAAAUUGUUUCGAUGCUCUUCUACUAAGAUUGACCAAAUGAGUGUUCUGCUAAAGUAAAAGUCAUAAGACUGAAAUAACAUGGGUCAGCCUUUGUAUGUCUGUUAGUGCUACAAACUAUUUGAAUGAAAGAUCUGACAAUACAUAGCACAUCGUAUGUCCACAGUUGUGAUGAUGGUAGGUGCAGAGUCUUGACUACGGUAGGUUUAUAAGUAGCUUUCUCUGAAUGCUAAAUGAAUGUACCAUGUACCAUAAAUCCACCAUGUACCAUUUGAAUAGUCUUGCUUAAGUUUAUGUUAGCUCCAUAUGCUAAAUGAAUGUUCACUUGUGUUCAAAUUUCAAGGAAGUGUGCUUCAUGCUUCUGUUUCUGCAAUAUGUUUAAGAGUAUAUGAUUUCAUUUUCCUUCAUUCCCAGUUAUAAAUUUAUUGGCGUCAAAGUAGAGCUUCAGGUUUAUGGUUGAGUAUAUCAUUGCAAAGUAGUUUAUGGCUCAGUAUAUCACUACAGGUUCCUUACACCGUCAAAUUUCAAUUUUUUUGUAUUUUUGUCAAUGGAACCAUGUUCUUUGACUAUAAAGUAGCAGAGAUUUCUUUUCUUAUCAAUUCUAAUCCCUUUUUGAUGCAUUGUAGGUUUGCUAUCAACUCUCAAAAAAGGAAAAACAACUUUACUCUGUUUUUUGGAUAACCUUCCUGUAGAGUACCUCGACAGAGACAAAUAUGCGAUCACGGAUAUAUUCGAUUGAUUUUCACGCAAAACUUGGAGGAUAUUUUUGCAGGUUUAUGUGAUUGGCGGGGAUGGAACAAUGAGAGGAGCAGUGGUGAUAUUCGAAGAGUUUAAACGGUGUCGUUUGAGGAUAUCCAUUACAGGGAUCC